rnacentral:lncRNA from 1 species
UCUAAAUUACUCUAAUAAAAAUAUACCUGUCAAAUUUACCCACACAACAAGAAGAUCUCGUCCUUCUUCCCUAAGAUCUGGCUCUUCUUAUACCUCUCUGUUCAUUGAGUGACGCGGGGUGGGUUCGGAGGAAAUCAUUAAUGGAAGCGAUAAAAUUCUUCUAAUUUCUCUUCUCAAAUUUCAAAACUUUCUCUUCGUCUGGUUCUGUGGCUAUCGACUUCAAUUGGGGAUUUCAUUUUUUUAGGGUUUUCAGUCACUGUUGACCUCUAUUUUUCAAGGACAUACUUGUAAGGUUUUUCUGGAAUUUUUACUUUCAAUUUAAUGACUUUUCAGUUUGGCUUUUCUGAAAUUCCUAAAAUUCCUUUUCUUGUUAAUGACUUCUUUAAAUUUCGGGAAAAAUCCUCUUUUCUUGUUGAGAGAUUUGCAUUUUCUUUUAAGAAUUUUGCGAUCAUAUACUAAUUUUAUAUUGGAAUUAGAUCGAUGCUUUUAUGUGAUGCCAAAAAUGCAUGGGUUUAGUUUCAUUAACCUUCAUGUGUUGCCUUUACCUCUACUAAAAUUUUGUUUCAUUCUAGGUCAAUCACGAGCAGAAGUUCAUGAUUCAUUUAUAACUUGUUGACACUUUCCUUUUUCUCUUGUUGGUAUAAUUUGAAGUUUUAAUUUAAUUUCACGCUAUUGUGGUGAUGAGUUAAUAUGGCGCAUCUUUGGUUCUACACAUUUGGUGAAGCUUAAAUUUUGGUUGAGUGUCUUUUCCUGUUACAUUCCGAUAAAAUAGAGUUCAUCUCAUUUUGAGUGCUUAUUUGGUCCAAUGUUGUGCUUGUGUACUUGAAUUCUUGAUUUGAUACCGUGUGAAGAAUAACUUAGUGAGUAUGAUUAGACUGAUUUGUUUGAAUGUUGCUGGAUGAGAUCUAAAUGUAUAUGAUUCCCACACAUUUGUCUAUAAGUAUGGCAAAAAUCUUCGUUUAUUUUUUAGUUAUUUUCUGUUUUUUAAUUGUUGGAAAAAUAUUAGUUCUCAGAAAGAUAGUAGAGUAUAGGAUACUGAUUGACAAAACUUAAUACGAAAGGUGAUAAACCCACCAAUCCACCAUUUACAUCUUUGAUAAUAUUUGGGUGUGCAAUAUUCAAGAAGUCAGAGAUUAGGAGAUCUCACAAAGGUACAUAAACUUUUGUUCGAACCUCGGUCAUAUAUGGUACUCUCUGCUCCAAUAAUUUUUCUUUAGUUGAUUUAGAAUGCGGGGUUGCAACUACUAUUAAUUACAAAUUUUGUAGCUAAGCAUCACUUGAUCUCGGGUUUGGCAUCAUGUCCUUGGCCUAUCUAUGUACACUUGGCAACUAAGAACCCCAAUUCCAUGUCUACAGUUUAUGUAAGCUACUUCAGGAAUUGAUUGUUCAUUGAGUAAUUAUCUAAUGUGUAAAGAAAGUCUCAACUCUAAUUUAACUAGUGCGGGUCAUUAUUAUUUUUACUAUAACAUGCUUUCUUGGUCCUGUCAUCACUAUUUUUUGUGUAAUUAUUUGGUCCUUUUUCACUUUGAUUUAUAUUCUCUUACUGUCCUUCAUACUUCUAAUAUUUCGCAAGCUUCUGUAGUUCGUUCCCACUUUGAUUUGUAUUUCAAAUAUUGACAGCAAAGGAUAGUACUUCAAAACUUUCGACCGUAUUAAUGCUUAACAAUUUAGGGAGAGAAAAGUUUAAAUAGCUAUAAGGAUAAAUUAUUUUUUAACAUUUCAGCAGUUUAUAUCAGCUAAUUUCAAAGUAGUUCAAUGUUUCGAGACUCGACUGCGUAUAUUGGAGGCUUAGCAUGUGAAUUCCUAAUUUUACACCUCAGGAGUAACUAGUUUGAUAAAUCUUCUCCUACCAAUCUACCAGAUUCGAAAGUUCGCCAUCUCACAAUUUCUCUUCUCUCAGGUACGCUUCUCCGUUCACUCUACUUGUUCUCUCUACUUGAUUGUUUUUAGUCGAUUAUUGUUUCUGGGAUGGUCAUUGGGAAUCAUCAUUUUUAUCAUUUUAUUCAUAUGCGAUUCAGCAUUAUUUACUUUCAACUUAUUCUUUCUUCGAUUCUCUGAACUACAUGCUUUCAGGAUCUUUCAGUUUUUCCAGGUGAUUUUUGUGUUGUUCUUGAGAGCCACAAACUUUUACUAUUCCAAAUAUGUUCAUAUUUAAUUUUCCAUUGCUGCUACUACCAUUUUAUUAUCCAUGCUUUCAAAAUAUAUGCCAAGCCUUCAGUAAGGUGCCUAUAAUACGUAAAUAAAACCCGCGAACUUAGAUAAUCCUCCAAAUAAACUUUCCUUGAGAGGUGAAAGGAGUAUUUAACAUGGACUACAAGUAUAUUAUUGACCUUUUCUUGGUUGGUACAAACAACAAUAUAGUGUACGGCCAUAUAGUUUAAUGUGUAGUCCCACUGUAACGAUCCGGCUGGUCAUUUCAUGAGUUACAGUCCCGUCUCCCCAUUUCUGCUUCUUUAUCUGUUGUUCAGAUGUAUUUCAUCGUACCGUAUUAGUUAUUCUGUGUUCGGAGUGGUCAUGGAGUGAAAUGAGACACUUAAUCUCUUAUUUAGAAGCUUAAGUUGAAAAAAGUCAACCGGAUGUUGACUUAUGAGUAGAAGGUCUCGAAUGUGAAUUCUGAUGGUUCAGAUAGCUUCGUUAGGUGAUUUUGGACUUAAAAGCGUGUUCGGAAUGUAAUUUGGAGGUCCAUGGUGAAUUUAGGCUUGAAUUGGCGAAAUUGAAAAUUUGGCAUUUGCCGAUCGACGAUGGAAAUCUUGAUAUCGGGGUCGAGAUGGAAUUCCGGAAAUAGGAGUAGGUCCGUUGUUUUGUGACGUGUGUACAAAAUUUCAGGUUAUUCGGAUGAGGUUUGAUAGAUUUUUGCAUCAUUUGCGGAAUUCGCAAGUUUGGAGAUCCUUAGGCUUGAAUCCGAGGGUGAUUUGGUAUUUUAAUGUUGUUUUAAGUGUUUUAAAGGUUGGAAUAAGUUUGUAUGGUGAUAGGUGACUUGUUUGUAUUGUUGGUUGACGUCCCGGAGGCCUCGAGAUGAUUACGGAUAGUUUUUGGAAAGUUUGAACUUGAGAAAUUCCAGCUGGUGUUGCAGCUUCUGUCAUAUCCAUACUUGCGGAUUGGGGACCGCAGGUGCGAGCUCUAUAGGAACAUAAAAGAGGUUCAAGUGUGUGGAGGACCACAGGUGAGGCUCGGUAAACCGCAUCUGCGAUGCCGUAGGCACGGUAAGGCGAUCGCAGAUGCGAGGCCUGAUAAGGUUAAGUGAAAUUCGCAGAAGCGGAUAUUUUUUCCGCAGAAGCGGAAGCGCAAGUGCUCUUAUGGGAUCGCAGGUGCGGAAUCCCUAGGGCGGAAAGUAUAUAAGCUCCCUUCACAAAUUUUGGUCAUUCUUCUACCAUUUUUGGUCGAUUUUGGAGCUUCAAGGAGUGAUUUCAAGAGGGAAUCGAGAGGUUUCAGUAAGGUAAGCUACUUGGGUCUUAUUAAUUGUGUUUGUGAUGAUUUUUCCACUACUUAAUCAUGAUAUUAGUGGGAAAUUUAAGAAGAAAUGGGAGAUUAGGGCUUGAAAUUGGAGAGUUUAAAUUGGGGAUUAAGGGGCCAUUUAAGGUUCGAUUUUGAUGAUUUUGGUAUGUAUAGACUCGGGAGUGAACUGAGUUUCUAAUUUUGCAACUUUUGUUGGAUUCCAAGACAUAGGUUCAGGGGCUGGGUUUGAGCAAAUUCGGGAUUUUGAGUUUAAUUUGAUAAUUUUCGUGUGGGCUUUGUCCCUUUGGCAUGUAUUGAUGAUAUGAUUCUGAUUUGGGAUAGAUUCGGGAUGAUUUGGGGUCGAGUCGAGAGGCAAGGGCAUUGCUGAGUAGAUUUCCGUCCGGUUUGAGGUAAGUAGCGAUUGUAAACUUAGACAUGAGGGGACAAAACCUCGGAAUUUCGUACCAUUUUUUAUAACACAUGCUAAGUGACGGGCGUGUGGGCGUGCACUGGUAGGGAUUAUGACAUGGUCCGCCCCGUGGCAACUGUAGAGUUGCAUAUUUUGAUAAUUCUAUAUGAAACCUAUGUGUUUAGAAAUAAUUCUGUUAACUUGGGUUGAAUGCCAUGUUUGGGGCCUUGUGCCGUACUGUUUGUACCCUUACGGGUAUUUUACUACUAUCCUCACACUGUUUUGAUUCGAAAGCAUAUCCUCAAUCAUGAUUUUUACAUGUUUAUUGUUUGAUUCAGUUUCAUUACUCUACUUGCAAAUAUAUGAAAACUGUUUGGGCUGAGUUCCCUGAUUUUUACUGAAAUGCUCGAGUGGCUGUGAGGUUGAUGAUUGAGAGAGGUAGGGGACAUGUGGUGAGGUUUAUAUAUUUAUGGAUCAGGCUGCACGCUGUAGCGAUAUAUUGGAUCGGGUUGCACGCCGCAACGAUAUAGCGCUUGGGCUGUAGGAGCCCCUCCGGAGUCUACAUACCCUAGUGAGCGCAGUCGAUUAUAUAUUUUUGGGUCAGGUUGUACGCCACAACGGUUAUUAUGAGAUAUCUAUUGAGUGGGAGUGUUGAGUGUGAGUGAUAAAUGACGAUAGUUAAGUCAUGAGUGACUGAGAGGCUUGUUCGAGGGGCUAUACAUAUAAGUGAUACCUUGUCCGAUGGGCUUGUUUUAUGAAAUUACUGUUUUUCACUCUUCUUUUAUACUGAGCCUCUAUUGAAUAAUGUUGAACAAAUGUUUUAUACAAAUUUCAUUGAAACUAGAGUUUUUAUGAGAUGUUCGGAAAUUGAAUUAUUGAUUUAACUUGGUUAUUUCCAUUGAGAUUCUAUGUUAUGAGAUGUAUAUGAUUUUAAAUGCUCACCACUGCACUCAGCCUUUAUUUAUAAUUAUUACAUACUGAGUUGGCGUACUCACGUUACUCUCUGCACUUUGUGUGCAGAUCCAGGUGCCAGAGCAUCCGAGAGAGAGUUGUUCCUUACCUUCAGAGCAUUCCGGAGUUAGCAAGGUAGUUGCACGGCGUCCGCAGCCUUGCCUUUCUCCUUCCUAUCUACUAGCAUUUGUUUCUCACAGACUCAUCUUAUAUUGAGUAGACAAUAUCAGAUUGUAUUUUAGUGGCUCAUGACUAGUGACACCGAGAUCGAGCAGUGGUUGAAGUUUUACAUAUUUUUUUCCGCUUGUUUUGAAAUGUUUAAACGAAAGAUUUAUGAUAAUAUCUGAUUAGAAAAUGAAUUAA